GGUUAAGCGACUAAGCGUACACGGUGGAUGCCCUGGCAGUCAGAGGCGAUGAAGGACGUGCUAAUCUGCGAUAAGCGCCGGUAAGGUGAUAUGAACCGUUAUAACCGGCGAUUUCCGAAUGGGGAAACCCAGUGUGAUUCGUCACACUAUCAUUAACUGAAUCCAUAGGUUAAUGAGGCGAACCGGGGGAACUGAAACAUCUAAGUACCCCGAGGAAAAGAAAUCAACCGAGAUUCCCCCAGUAGCGGCGAGCGAACGGGGAGGAGCCCAGAGCCUGAAUCAGCAUGUGUGUUAGUGGAAGCGUCUGGAAAGGCGCGCGAUACAGGGUGACAGCCCCGUACACAAAAGCGCAUGUGCUGUGAGCUCGAUGAGUAGGGCGGGACACGUGGUAUCCUGUCUGAAUAUGGGGGGACCAUCCUCCAAGGCUAAAUACUCCUGACUGACCGAUAGUGAACCAGUACCGUGAGGGAAAGGCGAAAAGAACCCCGGCGAGGGGAGUGAAAAAGAACCUGAAACCGUGUACGUACAAGCAGUGGGAGCACCCUUUGGGGUGUGACUGCGUACCUUUUGUAUAAUGGGUCAGCGACUUAUAUUCUGUAGCAAGGUUAACCGUAUAGGGGAGCCGCAGGGAAACCGAGUCUUAACCGGGCGUUAAGUUGCAGGGUAUAGACCCGAAACCCGGUGAUCUAGCCAUGGGCAGGUUGAAGGUUGGGUAACACUAACUGGAGGACCGAACCGACUAAUGUUGAAAAAUUAGCGGAUGACCUGUGGCUGGGGGUGAAAGGCCAAUCAAACCGGGAGAUAGCUGGUUCUCCCCGAAAGCUAUUUAGGUAGCGCCUCGUGAAUUCAUCUCCGGGGGUAGAGCACUGUUUCGGCUAGGGGGCCAUCCCGGCUUACCAACCCGAUGCAAACUGCGAAUACCGGAGAAUGUUAUCACGGGAGACACACGGCGGGUGCUAACGUCCGUCGUGAAGAGGGAAACAACCCAGACCGCCAGCUAAGGUCCCAAAGUCAUGGUUAAGUGGGAAACGAUGUGGGAAGGCCCAGACAGCCAGGAUGUUGGCUUAGAAGCAGCCAUCAUUUAAAGAAAGCGUAAUAGCUCACUGGUCGAGUCGGCCUGCGCGGAAGAUGUAACGGGGCUAAACCAUGCACCGAAGCUGCGGCAGCGACGCUGAUGCGUUGUUGGGUAGGGGAGCGUUCUGUAAGCCUGCGAAGGUGGCCUGUGAGGGUUGCUGGAGGUAUCAGAAGUGCGAAUGCUGACAUAAGUAACGAUAAAGCGGGUGAAAAGCCCGCUCGCCGGAAGACCAAGGGUUCCUGUCCAACGUUAAUCGGGGCAGGGUGAGUCGACCCCUAAGGCGAGGCCGAAAGGCGUAGUCGAUGGGAAACGGGUUAAUAUUCCCGUACUUGGUGUUACUGCGAAGGGGGGACGGAGAAGGCUAUGUUGGCCGGGCGACGGUUGUCCCGGUUUAAGCGUGUAGGUGUGUGUUCCAGGUAAAUCCGGUUCACUUUAACACUGAGGCGUGAUGACGAGGCACUACGGUGCUGAAGCAACAAAUGCCCUGCUUCCAGGAAAAGCCUCUAAGCAUCAGGUAACAUCAAAUCGUACCCCAAACCGACACAGGUGGUCAGGUAGAGAAUACCAAGGCGCUUGAGAGAACUCGGGUGAAGGAACUAGGCAAAAUGGUGCCGUAACUUCGGGAGAAGGCACGCUGACACGUAGGUGAAGUGAUUUACUCACGGAGCUGAAGUCAGUCGAAGAUACCAGCUGGCUGCAACUGUUUAUUAAAAACACAGCACUGUGCAAACACGAAAGUGGACGUAUACGGUGUGACGCCUGCCCGGUGCCGGAAGGUUAAUUGAUGGGGUCAGCGCAAGCGAAGCUCCUGAUCGAAGCCCCGGUAAACGGCGGCCGUAACUAUAACGGUCCUAAGGUAGCGAAAUUCCUUGUCGGGUAAGUUCCGACCUGCACGAAUGGCGUAAUGAUGGCCAGGCUGUCUCCACCCGAGACUCAGUGAAAUUGAACUCGCUGUGAAGAUGCAGUGUACCCGCGGCAAGACGGAAAGACCCCGUGAACCUUUACUAUAGCUUGACACUGAACAUUGAGCCUUGAUGUGUAGGAUAGGUGGGAGGCUUUGAAGUGUGGACGCCAGUCUGCAUGGAGCCGACCUUGAAAUACCACCCUUUAAUGUUUGAUGUUCUAACGUGGACCCGUAAUCCGGGUUGCGGACAGUGUCUGGUGGGUAGUUUGACUGGGGCGGUCUCCUCCUAAAGAGUAACGGAGGAGCACGAAGGUUGGCUAAUCCUGGUCGGACAUCAGGAGGUUAGUGCAAUGGCAUAAGCCAGCUUGACUGCGAGCGUGACGGCGCGAGCAGGUGCGAAAGCAGGUCAUAGUGAUCCGGUGGUUCUGAAUGGAAGGGCCAUCGCUCAACGGAUAAAAGGUACUCCGGGGAUAACAGGCUGAUACCGCCCAAGAGUUCAUAUCGACGGCGGUGUUUGGCACCUCGAUGUCGGCUCAUCACAUCCUGGGGCUGAAGUAGGUCCCAAGGGUAUGGCUGUUCGCCAUUUAAAGUGGUACGCGAGCUGGGUUUAGAACGUCGUGAGACAGUUCGGUCCCUAUCUGCCGUGGGCGCUGGAGAACUGAGGGGGGCUGCUCCUAGUACGAGAGGACCGGAGUGGACGCAUCACUGGUGUUCGGGUUGUCAUGCCAAUGGCACUGCCCGGUAGCUAAAUGCGGAAGAGAUAAGUGCUGAAAGCAUCUAAGCACGAAACUUGCCCCGAGAUGAGUUCUCCCUGAGACUUAGAGUCUCCUGAAGGAACGUUGAAGACGACGACGUUGAUAGGCCGGGUGUGUAAGCGCAGCGAUGCGUUGAGCUAACCGGUACUAAUGAACCGUGAGGCUUAACCUU
rnacentral:rRNA from 2 species